rnacentral:rRNA from 1 species
AGUCAGCGAUGUUACUUUGAAAAAAUUAGAGUGUUCAAAGCAGGCCUUGGCUCUGAAUACAUUAGCAUGGAAUAACACGAUAGGACUCUGGUCCUAUUUUGUUGGUCUUCGGGACCGGAGUAAUGAUUAAUAGGGACAGUUGGG